AGGUAAUGCUUGGGAAUCUAGCUUAUGGAGGGGGAUAACUACGGGAAACUGUAGCUAAUACCGCGUAGAAUCGAGAGAUGAAAGUGUGGGACCUUCGGGCCACAUGCCAUAGGAUGAGCCCAAGUGGGAUUAGGUAGUUGGUGAGGUAAAGGCUCACCAAGCCGACGAUCUCUAGCUGGUCUGAGAGGAUGACCAGCCACACUGGGACUGAGACACGGCCCAG
rnacentral:rRNA from 1 species